AGCAGUGAUGAAUAUUGGGCAAUGGGCGAAGGCUUGAUCCAGCCAUGCCGCGGGCAGGAAGCCGGUCCUAUGGAAUGUAAUUUGCUUUUGUACGGGAAGAUCAAGGUUCACGUGUGGCCCUAUGACGGUACCGUAAGAAUAAGGAUCGGCUAAAUCCGUGCCAGCAGCCGCGGUAAUACGGAGGAUCCCAGCGUUAUCUGGAAUUAUUGGGUUUAAAGGGUCGGUAGGCGGGCCGUUAAGUCAGGGGUGAAAGUCCGCGGGCUCAACCGUAGGACUGCCCUUGAUACUGGCGGCCUUGAAGUUAUGGUAAAGGGGGUUGAAUUUCCGGUGGUAGCCGUGAAAUGCAUAGAAUAUGACAGGGAAUACCCGAUUGGGAAGGCCGGUCCACUAGCCCUAUAAUGACCGUGAUGGACGAAAGGGUGGGGGGCCAACCGGAUUAGAUUCCCUGGUAGUCCCCCCCCUAAACGAUGGAAAAAGCGGUCCGGGUCUUUUAGAUCUCAGUGACGCAGCUAACGCGAUAAGUUCCCGCCUG
rnacentral:rRNA from 1 species